GUUCUUUUUAUGCUGCGGAAUUGUACUUUGAGAGGGCAAAAGCCAUGAGAAAUGCCAAGAGAUGGUGAAAGACGUGCCAGUGUUUGAAGAAUUCCAGAAUAGAUGGUCAGCACUUUUUAAGCAGACUGAAGACAUGAAUGUCAAACGAACUGUGUACAGCAGAGCCCGAGUGUGUACCUUGAUGAAGACAGCAGUAUCCUCAGUACCGACUACUUGGUCCCUGGUACCUUUCUCCAUAUGUUCUGGGACUGUCCUCCAGUGGCUGCUCUUUGGGAUUACGUGGCCAGAUCUCUCUCUUCAGUUCUUUCCUCUCCCAUCCCCCUGUCUCCCGUGGUCCUUCUUCUCCUGGACUUCUCUUCUCUCUCUUCCAGCAGAGGCUUCUGAUGUCUGCCUCCUUAGCGGCCAAGUUGUUAUUAGCCUCUCGUUGGAAGUCUCCUGAUCGUGCCAUUCCCUUGGUUUGGAAGUCCACCUUUCUUGAUCUGCUUCUGCUGGAACUCUCUGCAGCCCGGAUUAACAACUCGUCUGGUUCUACAAUCCAGAGCUGGGUCCAUGACGUGCAGCUGGUCAAGGAUUGGUUGCAGGUCAUGUCCUGAGGCCGUAUUCCUUGUUUUUUGUUUUGAUUUUUACUUUCCUAAUUCUCACAUUUUUCAGUGAUAUAAGUGCUUUAUUUCUUUUCUCCUCAGUUUUUAGCUGUGCUCUCCGUGGCUGGGUGUGCCGAUGACCUUUGUUGGUCUUCUGUUUCUUUAAAUUGAGCUGCUGUCUCAGGGUGUA